GAGUUUGAUCAUGGCUCAGAUUGAACGCUGGCGGCAUGCCUAACACAUGCAAGUCGAACGGCAGCACUGGGAGCUUGCUCCCUGGUGGCGAGUGGCGGACGGGUGAGUAACGCGUAGGAAUCUGCCUCAUAGCGGGGGACAACUCGGGGAAACUCGAGCUAAUACCGCAUACUACUCGAGAGAGGAAAGCAGGGGGACCUUCGGGCCUUGCACUAUGAGAUGAGCCUGCGUUGGAUUAGCUAGUUGGUAGGGUAAAGGCCUACCAAGGCGACGAUCCAUAACUGGUUUGAGAGGAUGACCAGUCACACUGGGACUGAGACACGGCCCAGACUCCUACGGGAGGCAGCAGUGGGGAAUAUUGGACAAUGGGGAAACCCGUGAUCCAGCAAAUUGCCGCGUGUGUAGAAGAAGGCCUGA
rnacentral:rRNA from 1 species